GCGCCGCUGACGGUGAAGCUGCCGGCGGCCAUCUUGGGUUCGGGCUGAGGGCUUUUGGCAGAGCGGGGGCGGCGGCGGCCAUCUUGGGUCCGGGUUUGAAGUCAGCGGGUUCCCGGCGGCGCCCGGGGACCGGAGCGGCUGUUUUCCCCAGGGAGCCAUGUUGGGUUCGGGCAGCCUUGAGCCCUCCCCGCUGGGGCCAUCUUGGGGCCGGGCAGAGGCGCGGCGCCGGGUCCACGGAGUGAUUGGGUGGAGGAAGGCGGUGUAGCCAGUCUCCUGUGAAAUGUUGAAAGGCAAACCUUCUGAAGAAGUCAAGAUGAAAUACCUCUGCUUUUGCCCAAGCAGGGAGGAAUGGGAAGCAGUAUGUGUGGUAUCAUCUCAGUCCAGCUCUGGGGGCUAGAGUUACAGAAAGACUAGAAUAAUGACAAAGUGCUACAAAUAUCCAGAGCACUGUUACACAGAUAUGAAGAUCCAGGACGGCUGCUUCUUUUACCUUCACAUUUUCAGAAGCAGGAGAAGCUGCAGGGUCACAGCAGUGGGAUGAUCAGAUGGCUCUUGUAGUGGGUAGAAGGAACCCAAGCAGUAGCGGAGGAUGUUGCAGCA